GGAUGAAGAAUUAAAACCCUAGCUUUGAUUCUGUAGAAGAGGUAUGAUCUCUAGGGGCCAGGGGGUAUGGUUUUAUAGUCCCUUCAAGUGAAUCUGGGCCGUUGGAUCAAACCGACAUUGAUUGAACGGUUAUCCUUGAUCCUUUAGGUCGGUGGAGCAAUAUCCCGAAAGAGAGUCCUGAUUGGACUCUAUGUGAGGGCGGGCGCUUAGGAGAGUAGGGCGGGCGCCCUGUCCCUGAGUCCUCUCGGCUUCCGCUUUGUUCCCGUGGCUUCUGAAAUCUUCUAGAUGGUAGAAAAUUGCGCAGCACGUUAAUAUCUCUAUGUAAACCCGACGUGUGGGCCUUUCCUCCGUAUUUCCUGAUAACCCCCUGCAGAAAUAGACAAACACCAAAACUCGUGGAAUUCUGUCAGAUAAAACCCUAAGUCUAGGUGUUGGUUCCAUUUGGAUCCUUUUCCAUGAUUAGUUGAUGGUUAAAUGUGAGCAUUAAGGACUGUCAACAAGCUCCCCCAAGCUUAACCUUUGCUCGUCCCUGAGCAAAGAUGGACUCAAGAGUUUCUGUAGUGGUUUUAUGCCUUAAAAAUACACAUUCGUUCAAACAAGAUCUCAUCUCUGGGUUAGGGUAAACUGUUAAGAUUUAAACUUACUCAUUUUACCAUCCACCAUGGGGCUUGCAACCGUCACUUGUGUCUUGAGUAGUUAAAAGAUAGAACGGUCUAGUCAAGCGCCAUGUCUCAUGUUCUUCGAUUAACUAUAGCUCUAGAGUUUUUGCAGAUUUUCAAAUAAAACUUAGAGAUUCCUUGUAUGACUCUCUCUAGUCUCUCUUUUGUGGUAUUUCUGGAUCCUUACCAAGGCAGUAAUGAUUUAUGCCUUCUCUCAAAGUAUGUGGUAUUUUUGGUAUGAGGCAUAGUGACAUUGCCUUCUCUCUCAUCCUACUCUAAUAAGGCUUUUGAUAUCUGGAGCUCAUAGGUGGGAGACAGCUAAUACAUACUUAUAAGACAUUUAUUGCAUUGUCAAACCAUGGAUCCAGAAGAACGAGUCAAUAAGUCAAAUCAAGAUGUGCAUGUGUGGCGAAUGAAUGGUGUAUGGUGAUGAUGGUGAAAGUCUAAUUCUACUUGUGCUCUUUUGAGGGGAUACAAACCUUUCUUGCUCUUUUGAAACUUUUUGAGGAGAAUGAGAUGCUGUAUAUUUUCUUUUUUUCUAUCCUCUCAGGUGGGUAUCUUGUACCCCUAAUUCUACUGUCGGACACUUGUCUAUUUUUACCUCUCGUCUCACUUUUUCUUUUCUUUCGAGGUUCCGGGCACUUGCCCCUUUUUAUUUCCUCAGUUCCUUUUUUUCUCUCUUUUUUUAGAGCACUCAUCUCCUGAAAUAAUAUGGCAAGUGGUAGUAACCAAGAUAACUUGAGCAUUUAUUUCACAGGGGAAAAACAGAAAUGUUUUUGGCUAUUCUCUCUCGGAUUAGGAGUAGAAUAUUUUUGGAUGGUUCUGGAGAUGGAAAUGGGUGGAUAUAUGUGGAUUCGUACUUCCGGAGUAGAAGCAGCAUGUGUGAGUGAAUGUGCAAGUGAAUCUUGAUUUAACCACAUGACAAGCUCCUAAGGGUCUACAUAGCUUGACCACACUCAAUGCUCAUAAGCAGUAAAAAGUAAAUGUGUGGCUCAAAUUCUUAGCAAGCAUGUAUAUAUGGCUGUGGUAGGAAUUCAAACUCUCAUCAUACAGGAACUCAUCAUAUGCUAUUUUAAAGAUUUUCAAAGAUAAAAUUUUCCAGAAUUCUAGCAUCUCUAGGAACAGAUAAGCAGCAGCUCAACCUUUCCAUAUCAUAUCUGUUAACAACUUAGACUUCAGCUCAAGUUCUCUUCCCACAAGUUCAGGUUUAGAGCAAAUCUUAAUUAAUAACUGUCAUGCCUAAACUUGAGAGACAUUUUAAUUUUGAGAACUAGUCAUGGUAGAGCAACUAUUCAUCAUUUCCAUGUGAGAGCUUACCAUAAGGGUUCAUAGCAAACUUUAUUUAUUUAGCAAACUAAGCAAAGAUAUAUAUAAAAGCACAAAAUCUUUAUUUGGGUUUUUAUCAUUAUGCAUCUUUUUAUUAUUUGAGUAAAAUAUAAACGUGAGUAGAACACUUAGCUGGAUAAAUGGGGGUGCUCUCCCCCAAGUUGGAUUUUGACAUAAUUUCUUCUGAUGUAGCUAGCAGGUGGUGGAGGUGUAUUUGAAUGUCGGCAGCACCCUGACAGCGAUUAGGAUGUCCUCCGUCUGGUAGUCUUCUUUGAUCCUUGAAUUCUGUGGAGCUCAAAUAGACAACAAAUCUUUGUGGAACUAGUUAAGUGUUAGCAUAAAUAUGUAGCCUUUAUCAUGUUGAGCCUCCUCAAUAAAUAUUACUUUCUUUAGUAGGAUCAUAAAUUUAUUUUUAUAUUUUCAUUUUUAUAGGACAGGAAUAUAUUUAUUUUAUUUUUACGCCACCACAGUGAAUGUACUUAUGGGUUUUAUGCCAUGAGCAUACUCACAUGGGGCUUACUAUUUUUAACAUUUUUAUUUUCUUUUCAAGAUGAUAUGAACCUGAUUAACUAAGCAAACUAUUUUAAAUAAUUGAAAGGAAAAGGAUAACUACCAAGUUUACCUCUUGGCAGGGCGUUCGGUGUUUUUAAGUCCACCGAACGGGACUCUCCGUUUUCUCAGUCGUCCUGGGAUUCGCUGGAUGGCAUAGUCGGUGGUUCCGGCGGCGCUUGCUCUUCGUGUAAAACUAUCUUCUUUCUCCACACCUGACUCGGUGCUAUGGUCUCCUCAGGACAGUUCUGUUCAAGCUGUAUGUCUUCAGACCUUACAACUUCUCCUUCAUAGUCAGCCCAUCUGUCCUUGAUGAUUUGCCUCCUCUGGUUGCGGUUGUGUCGUCUUCUUCUUGUCCAACCUGCUUAGAAUCUUCAACUAUAUAGUUAGGGUCAGUGAAAUAGCCGCGUACCUUCUCAGAGGGGAAGUGUAUGUGGACUUCUCUGGUUCCAAUGUAGAUGAUUGCUUUAACGGUGCUAAAGAUCGGUCUUCCAAGGAUGAUGGGUGGAUCGUACUCGUCUUCUCCCAUGUCAAUAACCUUCAAUCUUUCAGAAUGUCUCAUCUGCCAUCUGGAGCUGAAUGUAUGUCGGUUUUAGGGGCAUGGUUCCCAAUAGGAGCUGAUAGGUGACUGGGUCGUCCUUUUUGGUCAGGAACUGUGACUUUAAGUCGACGAUCUUGACCUCCUUGAACUACAGUGACCGUCUUAGCUGACUUGGUCCACAUUUGCUUGUUCAUGUUCCUCCUGUUGGUCCUCUUUCUUGGUUCAUGUCGGGAUUGCUUUGAGAUUUGUGUAGUCUUGUUCUUGAAGGAAAACGUCUCCUUCCUCCCCUUGAUGUAGAAAUGGAUUUUAGCAGCACUAGUGUAGAUGACAGCUCCCGAGGUGUUCAGGAAUGGCCUCCCUAGGAUGAUGGAUGCCCUCUCAUCAGUAUCAGUCUCUAUCACCACGAAGUCUGCUGGAGCGUAUAAGGUACCAACUCGGACGUAGAGGUUCUUCAAUAUUCCCUUUGGGAAACUUAGUGUCUGAUCUGCAAGCUGCAAACACAUGGUUGUUUCCUAGGCAUAAUGUUGACACUGGAGCCAAAGUUGUAGAGUGCUUCUGGGAUAACGGUGCGUCCUGGAUCGCCUCUCUUGACCGGCAGAAGGUCAGUAAUUACUUCCACAACGGGGUUACUCCAGUAGUUACGUCCUCAAGCAUCUCAGGGCAGUGAUUGCCUGAGUGUCUAGUAUCUCCAGUGUGUUUGUGCUCGUAGAUCUAGGUUCUUCACUUGGUGGAGUCUGGGAGUUGUAAAAGUCCUUCAUAUUUUGCUCGAAGUGUACCUGCUCAUAGAGACAAGGCAGAGAUCAAGUGCAUGGGCCCUGUUGAUGGAAAAAACCAACAGAACCAAAAGUGUAUUUGUUCUUCUCUAUCCUUAAGCAUAGUGAGCAAAACAAAGUAGAUGGAUAAUAAGAUCAUGGGUGUAGCAUUUAAAACAUUUAUCAGAUCAGAUCGCUCAACCUAAUGGAAAGAUAAUCUAUCUAUACUUAUGUGUUUUCUUUUUUUUUUAUAUAUAUCUUCCAAAGACUGAGUGUGCAACACUUUAGCUCAUAUGAUUAGGAGUGCGGGAUCACAAAGGUGGAAGGACUAAACAUGUUGAAUCAGUUGGGUUGGUUAAUCUAUAGCUGUAAAUCAUACAUGUUUGUCUCUUUUAUUCAUGUGAACGCCAGAACCAAGGAGAAGCUUUAUAAAAGUGAUAGUCAAGUACCUUAAGAUGUUACCUUACUUGAAGAGUGAUGGUACAGUAUCACCUUAUGGAAGCUUUCCUUUCUUAGCGGUUGUGCAUCGUGUUUGUGGCACCCUCCAUGGAUCAUCUCUUGUGAGCUAUGUCUUCCUUGUGUAAAUUGUUAAACUUUAUGUGUCUCUCUCUUUGUCUCCAAUGUGAGUUUAUCUCAGGACUUCCCAGGUCGAUAUUGAAUGUUUUCCUACAGGGGUUAGUCCAACAAAAUAUCCAAUAUCUACUAUAGCAUAUUAUCGGCUCAAAAAUCAACCUAGACACCAUGUCUAAUUUGAUUUAGGAGGGCAUUUUAACCUAAGCAUCAUGCUUAAUUUAAACUCCCUUGGAAGUAAAAUCAUCAGCCCUAAACUAAGCACCAUGCUUAAUUAAGAGAUAAAUGAAACUAAUCCAAACCUAGACAUAUACUAAAGCAAAUAAAGGUAGCAUGAGAGCAUUUAUAGAGAUCUACUCAAGUGGAGAUGAAGUAGUGUGAUUACUAUUUAACAAAUUGAGCAUGUCUCAAAGGUAGGAACAACCAACAUAGCAACAUGGCAAAUGAUGUUUUUAUAUAAAGUACUCCCCCAAGCUUGAAUUUUGCAAAAUUCAAGUUUGGAUUAAUUUAAUUCAAUGUUGUAUGAUGGUUAGUUGGACAUACCUUGUGCUUGUCAUUCAUCCGAUCUUCUUGCUCCAAUCCUAAAAAGGUUAGUGACAAGAAUACCCGAAGGAAUACUUUUACAAUUAUCCUUAUAUGCUCAACACACAAGGUAAUGUUGCAUAUAAUUAAAAGCUGAUGUUACGAUCUAAUCAGUGCUUGUUUUAGGACACUAAGCUUGCCCUUGGGAAACCAUCAAUUUAUGUCAGCGAAGAGGUUUCCCCUCCAACGCUGACCUAUAUCAAGAUUAACUCAACGAGAUCUGCAAUAUUUAAUAUAGACAUAUGCAUCGACAACCGCCCUUUUAAAGUUUUUAUAAAUAGAAAGGAAGUGGGAGUUGGAGAUCUCGAAUGUGGUGAUGUUGGAAAAACCAAUGGAUUGGAAAGAUGUUGCAUAUGAGCAUGGAGCAAAUGAAGUGGCUAUGAAAUAAAUUCCAUGCUCAUUAAUGCUUAGAGUGAAAUCCAUGUGGUAUGGUGAAAAUGAUAAGGUGACUGUGGUAAAAAAAGGAAAAGAAAAAGGAUACACGGACGACUUGGUUCGAAACUAGCACCGCUACCGUUCCCCGGCAACGGCGCCAGAAAGCUUGUUGGGUAUUUUAAACGCAAACAGAAAAAUCCGCAAGUGCACGGAUACCGAUGUAGCCUUCACCCGGGAGUAUUCCAGAGUAUCGAUUUUCCACAGAGAAUGUGAGUGUACUAAUUAAGAUCCAAGAUCGCCCAAGGAUAACUAUAUAAUUAUUUUUGGUGGGAAGAGAGGAAGUUUCCUGAGAGUUCUCUAGUUGAUCUAAGAAUCAAGAAUUACUUCAAGAUUAUCUAUAUCGGGACAUCAGAGCACUAACCACAGAAAGAGAUGAGAAGGGGGCUAGGAAGGUCUGACUACGGUCCUACAAACACCGAUCCGAACGAGGUGGAAUACGUCGACCGUUAGGGCUGUCACUACCCUAAGGCUACCACAACAAUCCGCAAGAUUGGGUGCAAUUCCAGGUAAUUGCAAGACUAAACACCACGUCUAAUCUAUUAAUUACUACUCUAGCGUUAUAAAGACUAGAGCACUUGAUGCAAGCGGGAAUCCAAUAAAUAACUUGAAUGUAAAUAAAAGUAUUUAAAGAACUCAGGAAUUAUGAAUUGAAGAACCUGGAGAACGAUGAAGAACGAACCAGUUGCUGCAAAAGUACAAUGUUGAGGAAGAUCUGACAGAUCCGGCUCCUCCUCCGCUCUCCUCUUCUCUCUCCCUAUUUUCUAGAUUACAACUAGAACUAACUAGAACUAGAACUAUAGGAACUAGAACUAGAACUAGAUGAACUAGAACUAGAUCUAGAUGAACUAGAAGUAGAACUAGAAGAACUAGAGGGAUCCUCUCUACUUGGAUGAAGAAUUGAAACCCUAGCUUUGAUUCUGUAGAAGUGGUAUGAUCUCCAGGGGCCAGGGGGUCUGGUUUUAUAGUCCCUUCAAGUGAAUCUGGGCCGUUGGAUCAAACCGACAUUGAUUGAACGGUUAUCCUUAAUCCUUUAGGUCGGUGGAGCAAAAUCGUCCCUUCAAGUGAAUCUGGGCCGUUGGAUCAAACCGACAUUGAUUGAACGGUUAUCCUUGAUCCUUUAGGUCGGUGGAGCAAUAUCCCGAAAGAGAGUCCUGAUUGGACUCUAUGUGAGGGCGGGCGCCUAGGAGAGUAGGGCGGGCACCCUGUCCCUGAGUCCUCUUGGCUUCUGCUUUGUUCCGGUGGCUUCUGGAGUCUUCUAGAUGGUAGAAAAUUGCGCAGCACGUUAAUAUCUCUAUGUAAACCCGACGUGUGGGCCUUUCCUCCGUAUUUCCUGAUAACCCCUGCAGAAAUAGACAAACACCAAAACUCGUGGAAUUCUGUCACAUAAAACCCUAAGUCUAGGUGUUGGUUCCAUUUGGAUCCUUUUCCAUGAUUAGGUGAUGGUUAAAUGUGAGCAUUAAGGACCGUCAACAAUGGUGACAAAGAUAAUUAAUCUGAUCAGCAUAACUUAGCCACAUAUAAUAAUGAUAAGUACCUCAAUAGAUAUUCUAGCAAGUCAUUAUCAUAGAAUUAGGACGAACUACAAGAAUAUUUCCUAAGUUAUUCUUAACUAUAAAGUCUAGCAUAUCAUAGUUAGUGCAAUUAUACUUGGCAAUCAUUGCGAGAUAGGACUACGCCCAUGCAUAGUGAUAUUAUCAAGGAAGAUGAGAAACAUAGCAAUCACUCCCCUGUAAUAAUGUUGCUCUGCCAGCCCUAUACACGAGAGGGGGACUAUAUAAGAAUCAAUGGAGCUGUCACUACCAUGAACUACCCCGCGAUCUGGCAUAUAGGGUACAAUCUGUUGAUAUUUGGUAACGCAAUAAUGAAAUGAUCCGCAAGCGCACGGAUAUCGGUGAGCAUUUCACCCGGGUGGUUAUCCAGAGUUAUCGUAUUUAUAUUUUUACCACUGGGAGAAAGGGUGCAUCUGACUAACCAAAUCUAUUGCUACUAUCCCUUUAGGCUACAAAGAAUGUCUCUCGAUGUGAGUGAUGUAUAGAGAAGACUGCAACCGUAGUCUCGUCCUAACCUUGGUAAGGAUGAUCUACUGUUCUAUUGGGGAGGCUCACGGAAUCUAGACAACACAAAGGAUGUUCGACCCGCACCUAUAAACCUACCCGUCCUGCUAACGAGAUGUGAUCUGCAAAGGUAACUCGGAAAUGUCACGUUCCUCGCUACUACCACGGUCCAGCUAGUCAGGGGAUAUCUAUGAGUACCCUAGCCUAAACACCACGUUUACGCUAACAAGUGAUUACUCUAAUACUCAACCGGAAGAGGAUUAAAGUAAACUCAUAAACCAAAGAACAAUAAAACAAGAACUUACUAGUAUUAGAAGUCGAAUUUCUGAAGAAUCUUAGAAGCAAGCCUCGCGUUAGGAGACUUGAUACCGUAGGUACAACUCGGAGUAGACACCGACAGGCCGGCCUUCCUCCGAUCCACACCUCCACUCUAUCUCUCUCAAUCUAGUAGAAACUAGAAGAUCUAUUUCUACCUUACAUUGGUUGCUAAGCCUAAAAAGAAAUAUUAUUUAGAGAAGAGGUUUUCCUUCGAGGGCACCCCUCAAUCUCUAUGAUAAUUUCCUGUCUCCUCCAGGGCCAGAGGGGGUCUCCUUAUAUAGUCCUCCCCUUCUAUGCAUUUUUAGGUCGAUAGGCGAGGUGGUACUAUGUUAUUCUGGAUCCAAUAGGUCGGUGGAACGUCGUGUGCGAAGAGAGUCCUGUUUGGACCCGACAGGUGGGCGGGCGCCCUGGGCCUGGCCCCGUUUCGCCUCCGCUUCGGUCUCGUGGCUUCUGGAGUCUUCUAGAUGGUAGAAAAUUGCGCGGUGGGUUGAUAUCUCUAUGUAAUCCCGACAUGUGGGCCUUUCUUUCUUAUUUCUUGAUAACCCCCUGCAGAAAUAGACAAACACCAAAACUCGUGGAAUUCUGUCAGAUAAAACCCUAAGUCUAGAUGUUGAUUUCAUUUGGAUCCUUUUCUUUGUUUAUUUGAUAAUUAAAUUUGAUACUUAAGGACCGUCAACAAACUCCCCCAAGCUUACCUCUUGCUCGUCCCUGAGCAAGGAUAGACUCGGCAAUGGAUCAUAAAUUGUUGCAAUAUUUUUUAAAAUUGAUGUACACAUGCUUUUUAAAUAAGAUCUCAUCUCUGAGUUAGAGUAAACUGUCAAGACUUAAAACUUACUUACUUUACCUUUCACCAUGGGACUUGUAACUGUCACUUCUGUCUUGAGAGGUUAAAAGAUAGAACAGUCUAGUCAAGUGCCAUGUCUCUUAUUCUUGAUCAGCUAUAGCUCUGGGGUUUUUGCAGAUUUUCAAAUAAAACUCAGAGAUUCCUUAUAUGACUCUCUCAGAUCUCUCUUUUGUGGUAUUUCUGGAUCCUUACCAAGGCAGUAAUGGUAUAUGCCUUCUCUCAAAGUAUGUGGUAUUUUUGGUUUGAGGCAUAGUGAUAUUGCCUUCUCUCUCACCCUACUCUAAUAAGGUUCUGAUAUCUGGAGCUCAUAGGUGGGAGACAGCUAAUACAUACUUACAAGACAUUUAUUGCAUAGUCAAACCAUGGAUCCAGAGAAACAAGUCAAUAAGUCAAAUCAAGAUGUGCAUGUGUGGUGAAUGAAUGGUGUAUGGUGAUGAUGAUGAUAAUAAUGGUGAAAGUCUAAUUCUACUUUUGCUCUUUUGAGGGGAUACAUACCUUUCUUGCACUUUGAACCUUUUUAGGGAGAAUGAGAUGCUCUAUAUUUUCUUUUUCUUUCCUCUCAGGUGGGUAUCUUGUACCCCUAAUUCUACUGUCGGACACUUGUCCAUUUUUACCUCUCGUCUCACUUUUUAUUUUCUUUCGAGGUUCCGGGCACUUGCCCCUUUUUAUUUCCUCGCAUUUUUCCUAUUUUUCUUCUUUCUUUUUUUUUCUUUUCUUUCUUUUUUUUCAGAGCAUUCAUCUCUUGAGAUAAUAUAGCAAGUGGUAGUAACAAGAUAACUUGAGCAUUUAUUUCACAAGGGGAAACAGAAAUAUUUUUGGUUAUUCUCUCCUGGAUUAGGAGUAGAAUAUUUUUGGGUGAUUCUGAAGAUGGAAAUGGAUGGAUAUAUGUGGAUGGUACUUCCGGAGUGGAAGUAGCAUAUAUGAGUGAAUGUGCAUGUGAAUCUUGAUUUAACCACAUGACAAGCUCCUAAGGGUCUACACAGCUUGACCACACUCAAUGCUCAUAAGCAGUAAAUAGUAAAUGUGUGGCUCAAAGUCUAGCAAGCAUGUAUAUAUGGUUGUGGUAGGAAUUUAAACUCUCAUCAUACAGGAACUCAUUAUGCAACAUUUUAAAGAUUUUCAAAGAUAAAAUUCUCCAGAAUUCUAGCAUCUCUAGGAACAGAUAAACAGCAGCUCAACCUUCCCAUAUCGUAUCCGUUAACAACUUAGACUUCAGAUCAAGUUUUCAUCCCACAAGUUUAGGUCUAGAGCAAGCCUUAAAUUAUAACAGUUAUAUCUAAACUUGAGAGAGAACUUCAAAUUUGCAAAUUAGGCAGAGCAACUAUUCAUCAUAUCCAUGCUUAAGUUUUAUUAGAUACAGAUUAGCAU
rnacentral:lncRNA from 1 species